UGAGUAUAGUUUAUAAAAAUACUAGUCUGUGACCCUAGUGAUGAGGACUAAAUAUCCUCUACCCACC
rnacentral:tRNA from 1 species